rnacentral:rRNA from 1 species
UGGGGAAUAUUGUACAAUGGGCGCAAGCCUGAUCCAGCCAUGCCGCGUGUGUGAAGAAGGCCUUUUGGUUGUAAAGCACUUUAAGCGAGGAGGAGGCUACUUGGAUUAAUACUCUGGGAGAGUGGACGUUACUCGCAGAAUAAGCACCGGCUAACUCUGUGCCAGCAGCCGCGGUAAUACAGAGGGUGCGAGCGUUAAUCGGAUUUACUGGGCGUAAAGCGUGCGUAGGCGGCUUUUUAAGUCGGAUGUGAAAUCCCUGAGCUUAACUUAGGAAUUGCAUUCGAUACUGGGAAGCUAGAGUAUGGGAGAGGAUGGUAGAAUUCCAGGUGUAGCGGUGAAAUGCGUAGAGAUCUGGAGGAAUACCGAUGGCGAAGGCAGCCAUCUGGCCUAAUACUGACGCUGAGGUACGAAAGCAUGGGGAGCAAACAGG